AACCAGUACUGUGAAGGAAAGGUGAAAAGCACUUCGAAUAGAAGAGUGAAAUAGUCCCUGAAACCAUGCGCCUACAAGCGGUCGGAGCAGCUUAUGCUGUGACGGCGUGCCUUUUGCAUAAUGAACCUACGAGUUACUUUUUCCGGCAAGGUUAAGCAUCUUGAGAUGUGGAUCCGAAGCGAAAGCGAGUCUGAACAGGGCGGAUAGUCGGAAGGAGUAGACGCGAAACCAAGUGAUCUACCCUUGGGCAGGUUGAAGGUUAGGUAACACUAACUGGAGGACCGAACCGAUAAGCGUUGAAAAGCUUCCGGAUGACCUGAGGGUGGGGGUGAAAGGCUAAUCAAACUUGGAGAUAGCUCGUACUCCCCGAAAUGCAUUUAGGUGCAGCCUUGAGAAUUACUAAUGUGAGGUAGAGCGACUGAUAAGAUGCGAGGGCUUCACCGCCUAUCAAGUCUUGAUAAACUCCGAAUGCGCAUUAGUUCGAUCUCAGGAGUGAGGGCAUGGGUGCUAAGGUCCAUGUCCUAAAGGAGAAGAAUCCAGACCAUCAGCUAAGGUCCCCAAAUAAACACUAAGUUGAACUAACGAAGUCAGAUUGCUAAGACAGCUAGGAUGUUGGCUUGGAAGCAGCCAUUCAUUUAAAGAGUGCGUAACAGCUCACUAGUCGAGGAGUUUGGCGUGGAUAAUAAUCGGGCAUUAAGUGUUUUACCGAAGCUAUGGGAUACGUAAGUAUCGGUAGGGGAGCAUUCCACUC
rnacentral:rRNA from 1 species